UAGGGAAUCUUCGGCAAUGGACGAAAGUCUGACCGAGCAACGCCGCGUGAGUGAAGAAGGUUUUCGGAUCGUAAAACUCUGUUGUUAGAGAAGAACAAGGACGUUAGUAACUGAACGUCCCCUGACGGUAUCUAACCAGAAAGCCACGGCUAACUACGUGCCAGCAGCCGCGGUAAUACGUAGGUGGCAAGCGUUGUCCGGAUUUUAUUGGGCGUAAAGCGAGCGCAGGCGGUUUCUUAAGUCUGAUGUGAAAGCCCCCGGCUCAACCGGGGAGGGUCAUUGGAAACUGGGAGACUUGAGUGCAGAAGAGGAGAGUGGAAUUCCAUGUGUAGCGGUGAAAUGCGUAGAUAUAUGGAGGAACACCAGUGGCGAAGGCGGCUCUCUGGUCUGUAACUGACGCUGAGGCUCGAAAGCGUGGGGAGCAAACAGG
rnacentral:rRNA from 1 species